GAGUGGAUGAUCAUAGUGCUUGAGUUUGGUAAAGAAAUGGAUGAUCAUUUCAAUGCUUAAUUUAUAACAGGCUUCACUUUUUUAUUGAUAUAUUGUCUUGUAUUUUUGGAUCUUUCUUUUAAAACUGAUACUUGUACUAUCAUAGCCCAUUGGACUUCUCUUAAAUAGAAAUCUAGUUGACAAAAAAAUACAUUUUCUCCGUAGUCUCCCAAAAAAUUGUCAACUUUUUCUUUGUCAUGGAUGAAAAUAAUUAACUGAUUAUUAGAUAAUCAACAAUGGCAAAUCAACACAUAAAAGCAUUUCCUUUUGAAGGAGAUAACAAGGAGCUGGUUCAGAUUGUGAACGGAUCUGAAGAUAAUAUGGAAUUGGGAAAUCUAACUUUUGAUAUCAGACAUUGGAUUAGAUUGUUGCCCUUGUGCUCGUUGGAGCAGGUCAACAGAGAGAAGAAUCAAGCUGCCGAUUGUAUUGCAAAACGGGUUUCGGAAGAGACUGAAAUUUCUGUAGUGUUUAAUAUGCCUCCUAAUUAGCUAAUUGACUAUUUGUAUCAACCUUUCACAAUUUGAUUUAAUACAAAAACCGUUGGAAAAAAAAAAGCAUUUUCCUUUCGAAUUUUAUUAGUUCUGCACAACAAAUAUUUUAAUACAGUUUAGCUAUAUAGUUAAAUUAUAAAUAAAAAUAUCAAACCAUUAAAUAACUGAUAUAUGCUUAUUUAUUUUCUUGCCAAACUUUCAAAUAUUUUCACCUUUUUAUAAUAUUUUGUGUGAAAUAUUUUUAAUGAAAAUACUCUAAAUUGAAUUUAAUAUUGACCGUAAGAGUGUCUAUUACACAACUGGUAACAGAUAAACUCCGGUCAAAUCUAAAAAAUACCAGUCAUCAAAAAAAUAGUAUAUAUCAACUUUCUGUCGACUUUUUCUUUGAGAAUAUUACAUUGUAAAACAUAUUUUUUAUUUAUAAUUACACCUAGAGGUACAUUGUGCUUGUGGCACACAUUUUAAAGAUGAUUUACCCGACUUAUCCUUUAACUAUAUCCAAACUUUCUAAAAAUAGUUAAAGAAAAUCAUAACUACCUCAUCCACAAUCUCGCCAUUUCAAUGUGAUUUCUCUACUCCUCUCUCUACUUCAAACUUCCCAAAUAUAAUCAACUAAGCUUUGGGUUUUCUAAUCAACUAAGCUUUGGGUUUUCUUUCUUCUUGAUCACUCUUCCUCGAUUAAUACCAUCACUUCUUCUAAGCUUCUCAAUCAGCUCGUCCCCUUCGAGCACAAGAGGUUUCUCUCCUCGUUUAUUUUUGUUGAUGCAUAUGGAUUUCCUAUGAUGUUCGUCGUCACUGGUUCGUCCUCAAUUCACUGGCAGAGCUUCACCGUCACAAGCUCGUCCUAUAUCUAUUUUCAAGCUUCAUCAUCACCGGCUCAUCCUCAAUUUGCGUCUGAGAUCAUUCUCUGACCACCAAUCUGUGAUCUCCUCUCGCGACGGUUGUACCCCUCAACAACAUGAACUCACCUAUAGAGAAUCUCCGGAGCGGUUAUCUCUUUUGUGCUCAGCCUCUCGCCAUCGUUUCCUCCGGUUCACUGGAUCUCCAGCUUUCUAUUUCUUAAUGCCCGAGAUCCAUUAUCCGGUCUAUCGGGAUCGAUCGAUCAGUUUUGGUCCUUGUAUUUUUGAUUAAUCUUGGAUUUGCCCCAACAUUUUUGAUUAAUCUUAAAUUAGCCCCAAAACUA